ensembl:lncRNA
GGAGGCAAGCCUGGAGUUCACUGAGUAGGGUGGCCAGCAAGCUCCAGAGAUCCACCUAUCUCUGUCUCCCCAGCCUGAAGAUUGUAAAUGAACCCCACCAAGUUCAGCAUUUUUUUAAAAAGUGGAUUCUGUAGACCACACCCAGGUCUUUGUGCUUCUGCAGGAAGCCCUUUACUGCCUGAGCCAUCUCUUCAGUCCUGAAUAUUGUAUUUCUAACAAUAUGAUUUCCAGGUGGUGUGGAUACUGUUGGAGCAGUGGCCACACUUAGAAACUCACUGUUCCAUCAACAUUUUCUCUAAGUCCAAGGCCUUGAAGACUUGGUCCUCCAUGUGUCUUUGUUGGAUCCAGGGUCCAACAAUCAAGGCUGUCACCCAACCCCCACGGGUCACCUUUCCAGGCCUCUGUGGGUCAGCAUCUCUAUCAUUUUCCUGGCUGGCCAUUGAAUGCUUCUAUCCCAUUCUCCAUUUUGUCUCAAUCUACGCAUCUCCCCGAGGAAGGACCAAAGGUUGGCAAGGAGGGUGUAUUCGUUACUUUCCCCAUUGCUAUGACCAAAUACCUGACCAGAAGCAACUUAAGGAAGGAACGGGUUGUUUGGUCUUACAGUUUAGGAACGGGAAUGGAUAUAGCGAACCUGGUGAAGUUGGUGGGAAUGGGGUGGUCACGUGGUCUCAAAGUCAGGAAGCACUCAGUAACCCGGAAGUGGGGUUGGGGGGUUGGGAGGGUGUUAAGGCUUUUAAACCUGAAGACUCAGCUACUUCCUUCCUUCAGCAAGGCUCCACUUGUCAAAGGGUCCACAACCUUCCGAAACAGCCCUACAAAAUGGAAGUUUUCAAAACAUAACUUUAUGGGAGACGUUUCAUAGUCAAUGCACCACAGAGGGCCUGGACCUCCUGCUGCCCUGGUGCUUUAGAGUCUUGGAAGCCAAGCCCGGGAUUUCUGGAACCCUGCCUUUAGAGAUAAAAGGGACCCUCGAGCAGAGAUCGGUCCCCCUGAAAUCUCAGCUGAGUUCUAACUGAAUCUAGUCUCUGACCUAGAGGAGUUCCUGUCCGGGUGGAGUCUCAAUUUGCCUCUCUGUAGGCGGUCCCGGAUGCUUCACCCCAGAGAUCCUUCCCGAAGACGAUGGAUCAGAAGAAGAAAAGAGAGGGUUUGCUGAGGAGUAAGUGGGAGUAAAGAUGACAUCAUUAUGGGGCAAGACAGGCAGCUGGCAGGAAAUGGCUGACACCAGGAGAGGCACAAGAGCCACCACUAAAGGACCCCUCUCCUGGGACCCAUUCUCUCACUCUGGCCCCACUCUACCGUCCCUACAACAGAAAGGGCUGCUAAGAGUGCAAACUCCAAGGCCAAGUGGAGCUCCUCUGUGGCUGUUGUGGAAAGCCACCGCUCAGCCCUCAUCCAACAACUGGUGGAAGUAGAAGCAGACACCCACAACUAAUCACUGAACUGAACUGGAAUCCAAUUGCAGAGAAGGAAGAACAAAGUGAAGAGCAAAGGGGUCCAGACCAGGCUGGUGAAACCCACAAAAAUAGCCAACCUGAACAUCGGGGAGCUCUUGGUCCCCAGACUGAUAGGUGGAAUACCAGCAUGGGACUAAUGCAGACCCCAGGAACAUGGGUUUCAGUGAGGAAACCUCAGAAAUCUACGGGACCUCCUAUAGAAGUUCAGUACUUAUCCCUAACAUAGGUGUGGACUUAGGGAGCCCAUUCCACAUAGAGGAAUACUCCCUGAGCCAAGACACACGGGGGUGGGCCUAGGCCCUAUCCCAAAGCAUACGAUAGACUCUGAUGACACCCUAUGGAAGGCCUCACCAUCCAGGGGGAGCAGAAAGGAUAUGUGAUAGGGUUUUAAUUGGGGAGGGGAG